AGCACAUCGCCUCAGAAUGAGUGCACCUGGGAGAUUAUGCGGGGAAUUGAAGAUGAACAUCAAUUUACUUGGGCCUGAAAAUAAAAGUUUCAUGGCAAGAAAAAUCAGUAAUGCGAAUCUUCCUUUGAACUUGGAGGUUUGAGGACAUUGAGGAAAAAUAUUGAGAGUCAUGCCUGCAGGUCACUGUCAUUGUCCCUGAAAUACUUUUUGAAUCGUACUAUCAGAAAAUAAUGAUCUUGGGGUUGAAGAGAUGACUAGCAGGAUAUCCAGAAGCUGCCCUGAAUCAUGGAGAUCCUGUGGGUAUGGAUUAUAAGCUUCAUGGGUCAACCCAAGAACCAGCUAUGGGCCU